rnacentral:tRNA from 1 species
GCCAAGGUAGCUCAGUUGGCAGAGCGGCGGUAUCGUAAACCGCAGGUCGUGGGAUCGUUGCCCACCCUUGGCU